AAUAAAUUGGCUCUAUAAUUACAAGACCUCUUCAUCCUCUCAUACUUGGAUUUUGGCAUAACAUUUGAGAGAGAGCAUAGAGAGAUAAGCAAGUGGGAGCUUUCCAUAAUUCCAGCUGAUCUUUUCUCGGUAUAUCCAUUGUCAUUCCCGUGGACGACGGUGCAUGAUCCGGUGUGGCACAAAUCUGAGCUCAACAUCAAGAACACUUCAUUGGUGGUGUUGAAGAAGUUUUGGGUCGUUUUGGUUCGAUUUUACACUUUGAGAGUUUAUUAUUUUGCAUUGUUGUUGUAAUAAUCUUUUAUAAGCUACACUUUAAACUCUACAAAUAGUAUCAGAGCUUAGGCUAACGGUGAAAAGUGUUAAAACAACUUGAAAAUCAGAUUGGAAGUCGAAGGGGGUGCAAUUUUGUUCGAAAACAAGUUCAGCAAAAUCUUCAAACCCAUUUUCUGGAAAAACGACACACCUGGUGGAUGAAAGGAGAGCACCACCAGACUCCAGACGUCAAGCAAAAUAUUCUGGUGCAGCGCGUGUGACACACGCGUCGUCGGUGGAGACGACGCGUGAGACCACACACAGAGGACACAGGAGGCGCGUGUGGAAGAUUCAGCCGGAGGUCAAAAAAGAAAAAUUGUUCCUUGAUGAAUUUCUGACCUUCUGGUGGUGUUGGAUUUCUGUUUGGUACACUAUGGAAGCAGAUACAGUCUCGGGCAAAAAAGUGGAAAUGGGAAAACUUUUCCAUUGGCGGCUCGGUGGCGUUUCCUGGUGUUUCACCAGCUUUUGGAUGACUUAGGGCAGUUACUGGAGGCUUUAGAUCGAUAAAGACUCGCAUCUCUCCUUAUACGAACCAAUAGAUUGGUUCGCUCGGUUUGCGCACUCUAACACCCUCUCGAAUUUACAAUUGAAAUAUUGUGUUAUUUGCUGCUAUAUUGUUACUUAACUCUUGUGAUAUUGGUUAUGUGUUACUUGUUAUGAUAUCAUCACUUAUGUCAUCUUAGAAAGUAAUUUAUACAUAAAUUGGUUUGAGCUUGCAUUUGUAUGUGGGUAAAUUGGCUAAGUAAAACUUUUUUCGAAAACAUUAUUUUGCUAGUAUGGCUUCUUGAGUUGAAUUGGCACAAUUCAAUGGUAAG
rnacentral:lncRNA from 1 species